AAAUCAGGAAGAACUCAUUAAAUGCUUCAGUUUCAUCAAGACUUCAGCCCAAGUCCCAAAAGAUGACACAGUAAAAAUGAAUGAAGAGUAUUUCUACCCUUAAUAUACAUCUUUAUUAAGUGAUGGGGCUGAGGUAAAAUUGACUGUCCAGCUACUUGUAGGUAAGAAAAUCUUGUGAUACAAUGGCACAGAAUGACCACACUGUCAUUUCCACAUGGUGGUAGCAGUGGGGACAAAGGGAAAACCCACCUCAGACAAUAGGAGUGAAUUAUGUAUCUUAUUUCUAUCAUUGUCAAUAAGACCUCCGUAGCUGUGAAAUUUAAGCUGUUACAAAAGCUGCUGAUACGUAUGUACAGGCCAUAAACAACUGAUUCCUUUCAGAGAUCAGGAAAGACUGUCAUUCUUAUUAAGCAGGAAAAAAAAUAAAUAAAACAAGAGAAGAGACAUUAAGAAAACUUAUGUUCCAGCUACUAUAGCAACAUCUUUUUAAUCAAUAGGGGGAAUGCAAAAAGUAUACAAAGCAAUGGACAACACAGCUGCAAUUACUACUUCAUGUGAGACCAUGCUUCAUUUGCAUUGUGACAUCCAAUCAGACAGAAUUAAAUUUUGUGUGCUACCCUAUGUCCCCAACUCUCUCCUUCAGCUAAUCUGUCACAUCCUUUACAGAAGUGUUACAAAUAAGAUUUAUCAGGAUGACAAAUAGAGCUUUCGUUCCUAGUGUGGACUGUGCUUGCCGUUGCCCAGUGUACAAUCAGCAGCUCAGCUGCUAAGCAACAAAAUGAAACAGAGAAAGAAAAAGCCCCACCAUACCCCAACUCCUGUCAAAAAUGCCCAUCUUUUGGCAUAUUGAGUGGGAACAACUGACACAAGAAAAGGAAUCAACUGCACCACGGAUACUGUGGAUUCUCAGGGAUGGUCAUGUUCAGCUCACAGCAAAAGCCACAGACCCUUGAAAAAAGUCUAUUUUUCAGGAAUGGACCUGAGAUACAAGAAAUGAUGGACCACUCGGUUCAGAUACCACAGUGAGGUGGUAUUUAAGUCUUUCAGCAAAUGGUAGAACAUUCCCCAAAUACCUCAACGAAAAGCCAGGAAAAACUUUUACCUGGUAUCAUCACACAUGCUUAAGGAGUUCAAGUUCUGAAGUGUUAAAUGAGAUACCCCAAGCAUUAACCUUGUAUGAAAGUGGUUAAGAAGUGCAGAAGAGAACUCUACCAUAUAAAUGAAAUAUUUAGAAAAAGAGUUGCAAAGUCAGAAACACGCAGGAUUUACUAUGUGUUUCCAUGUCAUUACUUCACAGAAGAAAAAAAAAAAAAGGUUCAUUUUUAUACUCUGCAGCAUCUUUCAAGUCUGCAAUUUUCCAUAAAACUUCCAUUAUGACAUUUUACUCAGUUUUCCUAAUAGCUUCUUAGUUGUCAUACUUUCCUGUACCUUCAAAAAUGGGUAAAUUAUGCUACAGUACCAGGUUAUUUUCAUUCAUCCUCACAAUUGAGCUGUUAACUGCUGGGUUCACACUAGAAUGUAUUCAGGCAGGGUUUGUUUCAGCCACUCCAUUAACUUCAACAGACUAUUUUAGUGUUUGCACUGAAUGCACAGUUCAGACAAUUUCACACUCAAAUUUUUUUCAAGCUUCAUGCCAACAAACCACUGAGGAUGACACACAUCAGUCUUUCAGUGGGUCUAAAACACCAUUUCCAGGCAAUUCACAGAUUUUGAAGAAAAAGGCAAAUGCCACCCAGGCAAUUUAGGCUGGAAGAGAGGCUAAAGGACUCCUAAAGGUAGAUCUUCCCUCCCAUGCUAGAGAGGAAAUAUCCUUCACAGAUAUACAUACAUAAAUCAGGCAACAUUAAAAAUUGAUACCCCUAUGAAUUUCCAUCAACUCAGAUGGCUGUGGGAUAAGUCAAUGCAGCCACAGCUGCUUGUGCCCUGUCUAGUAAUGCAAAAUUCUUGGAGGAGAGGAGGAGAGGCAAAAAGAGGAAGAGGCAUUCAUUCAUCCUUAUAUACUGCAGAAAAGAAUGAAAAGCUUUCCUUUUAGAACUAAACAUUUUCAGUAAGGAUGAUUAACAAUACCAUAUGCCAUGGAGGAAGGAUUAACACAGCUGCUGUAGGAGAGAUACAGUCUGUAGAUUUAUGGAGAAUCGAAGAAGAGCAACUGUUGGCUUCCAGGUGACAAUGCAGCAGAACUGAUGCUUCCCAGGUCUUCACUUUGAGCCUGCACCUUGCAAGCUUCUCCCGGUGGAUCCUGAAUUGCUCAGCAUUGAACCAAACCAUGCCCCCAGGAGACUCCAGCUCUGGAGAUAAAAGGCCCAGCACAACUCCACUUCCCUUGUUCCUCUUGAACAUUACAUGCCAUUAGCAUGUAAAUUGUUGAUUCAUUCAAUGAAAAUGAUCAGACCUAGCUAAGAGUUAGUCUGCAGCAAGAAUUCAGCUCCCAGGACAAGUUCCACUGAAAUGACCAUCAACUUCCUCUGGAGUUUCACAUGAGCACAAAGAAAAAAGUGAAUACAGCCUGUGAGUCAAUGACGCCAAGUUUAGGGCCCUUCUCUUUAUGGCUCCCAUGGAAUCUUUCAUUUCACCAAAUAUCACUUGCUGAGGAUACUGAGCACCUCUAGUAGCUCGGCUCUCAUCAUCUUCCCAGGGGAGCCUGACACAAACAGUUCUGUACUCACAAUUUUCUCACGAACAACACAAAUCCUGACAGAUAAUGAGAAAUGCAUUGUAUUUCCUAAUCCAGAAGAGUGCUAUAGGAUUCACAUUUCCUUCAUGUUUAUUGAGUUCAGAAUUCUGAAAUCACAGCUCCUAUCGAGUCAGCCGCAGAACUGAGAGGAGAAUUAAGACUUUGUGUUUUCAAACCCCAUUUUUAAUAUUCAGUUAUAUCACCACUGAAAGAAAAAAAACCCUCCCCACACCUUACACCAGUGUUUGUGUCAGACUUCAUAUUUCUGAUGAGUUGAGAAAGAAAUGCUAUUUCAGUAAAAUACUUUUUAAAUAAUAGACACAGAUCUCCUAGAAGUGGUGCAAAGAACAUUCAUGCAAAAUCUGGAGUAUGUAACAAGAGAAAGCAAUUGACUGAAAUAUUUUGGGCUAAUAGUGACAGCUCAGCAACCAAUGCCCAUCAUUACAGAGAGAAUAAUGCAAGUGAUUUGCGAGGAAGGGCUCCAACCUGCUCAGUUUGCCAUUCCUGCAGACUCCAUUGUAGCAGAAUCCAGCCCUGAAUAUUUCAUCUUAAAAUACAUCUACCAACAAUAGCAUUAUUUGUCUUGGCAGAUACUGGAGCUUAUGCAAAAAGUAGAAGGCUUACCAUGUGGAAUACGAGGCAGUAAUACAAAACACAUACAGAACAAUAUGAGAAAAUAUUUAAAAAUAUAAUUUAUAAUAGCUUAAUCUUACGUACACUAUAAAAACAAAUUACAGAUAUAGAUAGCUCAUUGGUGUAUUCAUAUUAGUAUACACAGCAUUAUAGAAGGGACCAUACCUUUGCUUUAUCUGAAAAGGAAAACAUUCUACUUAUUUUUUUUUUUCUGCUCUGCAUGCAUUUCAUUUUCCAAAAUGCAACUGGGCGUGCAUUACAUACAAACUUCAUCCUGCUUCUCUGAAGUACAGCUGUCAUGAGCAUUCUCUAGCGCUAUGCAGAAGCCUUAUGGAGUGAAAAGUGCUGGGGACAAGCUGAAUCUGAGUCUAAGUGCCAUAUUUUCAGCAGAGUGCAGCUUCAGAAAUGCUACUGGAAAAAACCAACUAGAAAUUGAUGCCGUUUUAAGUAGCAAGCAACUUUUGGCAGCCAAAAAAGGGCAGUGUGUAAUGAUGAGAGCUGAAACAAACACACUUUAUUUAAGAGUAAGCAGCGUCAGUUCUUGUCUAGAACGAUAUCGUACAUGGCGUAUAUUAUAGUGUCCCGUGAUAGCUGGAUCAGACACUAACAGGCAAGCAAAGGGGACAUGGAGUGCAUCACGCUGCCUGCAUCAGUUGCACUGCACUGACACAGGCUGGAAAACACACAGCACACUCUAGGGACAUACAUGGAAAAAAUAAAAAUAAAAGGAACAAACAGAACAUGGAUCCAUAGUGCCACAAACCUUCCGG